CAUUCAUUCGUAAUCUGUUCUCCGUUUGGAAUUGUUGUGUUUUACAUAGUGCGUGUAACUUGGUUGUAAAUAAAGAGAGAGAGACGAAGAAGAAGAUAGUGUGUGGUGCAAUUCUGAGAAUUUGAAAAUUUCAGUAAAAUUAAUAUACGCAAAACUGUCCAAAAACAUAAAAUUUGGUGAAAAAGUUACAUGCAAUGAAGAAAUAUGAAAUGUGUGACUUUAAUUAAUUCAUAAUGUUGUGAAAAAUAUAAAAUUUUAAUAUAAAGAAUAUUAAAUUUUCCCAGAAAGGUCAAUUUCUAAGUAAACGAAUUUCCGAGAAUUCGAAUUCGAUCUGCGCUGUUGUACAUAGUAUUGUGUGUGCUUGCAUACAUGCGCCAGAAGGACGCAGUGUAGAUCACAUACAUAAGAGAAACAAAGGAGGGGAAGUGUGUGAUUGUGGUGCAAGUGCAAGAAGGUACUGCAUAGCGUGCAUAUUUCCGCGAAUUGGACAAAUCGCUACCUCUGCAAUAAAACCGCAAAAAGGUGAAACAAUUUGGUUGCUUGCGGGCACUUCAUACGUACAUAUAAGUAUAAGACAGUGGCAAAAUAUACGUACAGUAGUAUAUGCAACAUGAGUGAAUUAUUGCGAUACGUUAGCAUCGCAACCAUUGUGUUGUGUUUAGCAAACUUGGCGAACGCAUUCCCUGAUGUAGGUGAGACAAGACCACCGCAUGCAGAUGUUAAUGUGGGCGGCAGUGUAAAUAUAUCGUGUCUCAUAAAUCCUAACCGAUUUGAUGAUCCUUGCAAAUUAACAUUCAUAAAUCAACUUACCGGCCAACACGUACCUGAAAAGGAUAUAUUGGUAGUGAAUAGUAGCUACAUUGUUUAUAUGUUUCACAGUGAACGCGAGCAGUCGUUACGACUUCUUUGUAAAUGUGAUGGAGAUGCGAUCGAUGAGUCUACCAUUUACGUGGGUACCCCGCCGAGGGGUGUUAGACAAUUCAAUUGUCGCAGUUUUGAUUUCGAAUAUAUGGUUUGUAAUUUCACACAACCGGAGAAUGCAGUACUUACACAAUACAAUCUCACGUAUUACAUAAAUUCACCUGAUUACGAAACGCCGGCCUACUGUAAUUUUGAUAUGAAACCAUUAGUGGUUUGUAACAUUACCGCAGAGUAUUCUUAUCGACCACAAGUUGAGGAAUAUCACUUUAAAGUUCACAGCAUUAAUGCUUUAGGCAGCUACAAACAAGAAUUCACUAUAAAUAACUUGAAUUUGAUGGUGCCAGCCCGACCAGGUCAAGAUUUUCAUAUUAUAAAAUUGACCACAGAUAGUAUGGAUGCAAUUUGGAGCAUGCCAAAAUAUGACUCAUACACACCUAACAAACACCGCGGUUUACAGUGGGAAGUACUCUUACAGCCAGAUAGCUUCGCAAUAGAAAAUAUCAGUUCACAAGUGCGUGUGGUGCGUGUUGAUCGUGGUUGCAAAUUAUCAAUAACCGAGCUGCCAUAUGCCCACUACUCUUAUGAGUUGCGUUUACGUGUUAAAGUGCGAACGGCUGUUGCCGGAGAGGAUAUGUGGAGUCAAACGUUUAAGUGUCGUUUCCGUACGAAACCCCGUAUGCCAGACAGGCCACCACGCACCGAUAAUGGUGGUUUUUAUAUAAAUCCACUGGAAACCGAAGUACGGCUGUAUUGGGAGCAAUUAGAAAAAUGGGAGGAGAAUGGCGAUAAUUUUACGUACAUCAUACGUGCUUUGGAAAAGCGCGUCAAUGACCAAACGAGAGCACUGCUGCCACGACAACAAGAGGCAAAUUUUGCCAUUUUCGAAUGGCACAAUGAUUUGCACUAUACUUUCGAGAUAAGUAGUCGCAAUCAUAUGGGGGAAUCCUCUACAGCAAAUGUCAUUACCAUAUACCCACAAACGAGCAGAUUAGCCAAGCACCAUACACCACACUCCAUACAUAAUGUCUAUCAUGAGACAAAUCGUUCCUACACGCUAACCUGGCUGCCACCACAAGCGCAGGAGGGUCUACAAAAUUAUACGGUGUAUUGGUGUUAUUCGAAAUUGGCCAUGCCCACAGAUUGCAGAGGUUCAAUACACUUCCAACAAGUGAGCAGCAAAACACAACGCUUUGCUACCGAACCACAAUCGGCCGAACAUGAUCACUCGUUAACGCUAGCCGUAUCCGCUAAUUAUAUUGAUUAUAAUACCGGCAUGCAUUGGACGUCUUGCAGUGUAGAUGUGAAUGCCGAUUUUGAACCUAUGGAACCCGAAAUCUUGUCCAUCUCCGCAACGGAAUUGCGCGUGCAGUGGAGCUCGAAGACAGUUUGCCCAUCAAUUUUAAGCGGCUACAAUCUCACCUAUUGUGAGGUGGCGAAUACACCGGAUACCGACAGCAUAACACCGCCUAGUGUAGAGAGCGGCCUGUUUGAGCCAUUCAGCAGCGCCAAAACUGUGCCAGCUGAAAGGACUGCUUGUGUUAGCGACCCGACUAUCAUAACAAUCGAUAAGAAUUGGAAUAAGUUUAAUAUAACAGGCUUAAAACCCUUUACGCUGUAUCGUUUGGAAAUGUUUAUGUUCUCCAAUGUAAAGGCGGGCAAGCCGAAUGACCAACUACUGGUGCGUACAUUCGAAGCGGCACCUUCACCACCACGACAAUUACAAGUGACCGAGCUGACAAAUACAAGUGCGAAAAUCACUUGGCUGGCGCCGAGUGAAGCCAACGGUUAUAUACGUCAGUAUAUUGUCAAGCGAAACAAUAAGGAGUUUGUAGUUAAUGCCUCGCGCUUGGAUUACGCCGACAAGAUUAGUUUUGUUUUGGAGAAUCUCACCAGUUUUACCUCAUAUAAAGUGUUUGUUAUCGCGGUCACAAGGUACAAGUCCAAUCACAGCAAUGAUAUUCACUUCACAACUUAUAUGAGCGCCCCCUCUAAAAUGGCCUACUCCGGAACAACCUCCAUGAAUUCAAAAGAAGUGAAGGUGCAGUGGUUGCGGCCCAGCCAGCCUGGCGGUCGCGUUGAUUACUAUGAAGUAGCCGUAACCGUGCUGCGCGGUGAUUAUGUCGAACGUCGUCGCAUAGCCGUUGUUUUCGGCAAUAGUUGCGUGCUGCGUGUGCCCGCCUGCCCCGAUCCGGACUACCAAACCAACGUGGAAGUGCGUGCGAUCAAUGCGGGCUUGAUCAAGAAUAACGAAGUGAAUCCGAAGGAUGUGAUUGCACAUCAAACCGAAUUCGACCCCGAUGCAAAUAAUUACGAAUACAACGAUGAAUUUGCAUGUGUCGGUACUGACAAUGCAGCGGAUGUGGAACGGGAAAAGGCUGCACUGGUGCAAUAUCACAAAAAAGACAAUUAUUUGUUGUAUAAAUCGGACUGGUAUCCGCUGACGAGUUUUGGUUGUUCACAGCGACAACUAGGAAAAAUUACCGUUAUCACCUUAAUGAUUGUCUGCACAUCGCUGAUGUUGAUGGCGCUCAUGUUCUUCGCAACGAAAAAAUGGAAAAUGAUGAGUGAUAUACAAUGCACGCUGCCCGCAGCGCUGGUGGAUGCCUACCUCACGAAGGAGCGGAAUGGCGGUGGCUGCGGCGGCGGCGGUUACAACAGCAACAUAGUCAACGGUAGUGGCGUUGAUGUCGUCAACGAUUUCAUAGCAACGCCAACGUCACGUAACAUCAACACUCAGCCGCUCCGCGACAGCAAUGAACGAUUGCACAUCGAGGAGCAUCACCUGUUAAGCAGACAGCAGAACGACUUGGGCUACAUGAGUGGCGGGUUGCAUUUCGGACGUAGUAUUAGCGCGCUGGCAGAAACACAGACUUCAGAAAAUGAAAGUGGCGAGGAAGAUUUGGCCUAUCACAAGCGCGAUUACUUAAACUCUGAAAGUUCGGCUGACUCCCUGAUAGAUAGCACAAGCAGUAGUAGUGGCGCUAACAGCGAACUGGGCGCACAGGAUGCAGUACCGUUACAGCGCAUAGCCGAGGAGCCUACUGGUUACGUACAAGCUGCGCAAGUGCAAACCGGUGGUGUGCUUGGCGGUUACGUGAUGGCGGACAACUUGCAGGCAUGGAUGCAGCCAAAGGCGCCAGUACCAGCAGACGCUACAGUAACUGCACAACCCAGCGCGCACGGCUAUGUGCAAGCGAAUGCGUUAAUUGCGGCAGCAACGGAAAAUAACACUGCGCCACCAAACACCGCUUUCAGCGGUUACAUUAGACCGACCGCGCUGCCACAGUGGCCAACGCAAAGCACACCAACAACAACAGCAGCGGCACAGAUUGCAAAUGAAUCCGUCGGCCAUGGUGGCUACAUAAAGCCCACAGCUUUAAACACGCCCAGCGCUUGGGAUCAACCGCCACAAAUAGGCGCCAGCGGCAUUGAAGCAGGUACGAAUAGCAAUUAUAUAAAUGCAAGUGAUUUGCGCGCAGCUCCUGAAACAUGGACAGAGCAGAAGCAGCAGCCGAAAGCCACAGCUGCCAAUAAUAACGGUUAUAUAACGGUUGAUAGUCUUGAGGCACAUAAGCCAAAGACUAUGGGUGCAACAACAACACUACCGCCAGCAAUCUCAGUUAACACCAACACAAGUGCCGAUGAUAAAGCACCAACGCUUGGAGCGGCUGCUGGCAGCCAAUCCAACAGCGCUUACGUGCAACCAAGCACUUUGCAAGCAUUACUCUUUAACACGCCGACAACAACGGGCGCCAGGGACCCCCACUCGCCGCUAAACAAUGCCAAUAUAACGAAUUUCAGCGGCUACACAACAUUGGAUGCACUGGGCAAACUAACGCCGACACAGGGGGCGCCUACAGCACACAGGCCAGAGCAAGCUGAUCUUAAACCGCGUCUCAUGGGCUAUGUGACACAACGUGAAAUGAAUGAAUUCGGACAGCAGCAUAUGCAUUAAAGGGUUAACAAACAACAAAUGCAGUCAACUGCAUGUGCAGCAUAAAAUAUGUAAACAACAACAAAAUACCGUGUUGGUAGCUCUACAAAAUUCGAUUUGGUAUUUUGCUAUAAAUACAUGCAGAUUUUUCUGAUAAUACGGGUGAAAAGUAAAUAAUGUGUAAUACAAUUUUUAAUAGUAGAUCUAUGAAUGCAUGUAUGCACAUACAUACAUAUGUAUGUACAUAUGUAUAUAUAUGCGAUAAAUGCUCCUAAAAUUGUAAUCAAAUUUAUAAUUGUAAACAAGACUCGUUAUAAUAACAAAUAAUGUAAAAAUUUAUAACUUUAUUAAUUUUUUUAUUUUCGUUUUAAACAUUUUUUUUGUUGAGUUAUUUAAUAUGAAGUGUUUAUGCGAAUUAAACAGAUGAUAAUACUUACUGUAAUUAUUGUAAUAAAACUUUAACUUUUUCAAGUGAUUUAUGGUAAAUUAUAAAAGAAUUGAUGCUUUACAAACAUAAAUAAUAAUUAAUAUAUAUUUUUAAGCCACAAAAAUUGUUUCUCAACACGCAUUUAAAUUAUGUUACUUAUGCAGUUGAUAACAGUUAGUCGUUUGCGAAUUUCAUCAUGUACUAUUUGCUUUUAGUAUAAAUUUUAAUAUUUUCCAUGAAUACUUAGUAUAAUUUCAGUAUAAAGCACACACGCAUGGACAUAUACAUACAUAUGUACAUAUGUAUGUCGGUGUGUGGUAGAUUUUAUAUAAUAACAAAUUACGAGACAACUGUUUAUCACUAAUAUAGAUAUGUAAUUAAUGUGAAAAGUUUUUGUGUUCCACGUAAACAAGUAAAGUACACCAAUCGCUGGCUUUCAUGAAUGGUGAGAUGAUUGAAUGGCGAAUGUUGACGCUGCUUUUUAAUGAAAUUGAGAUUUUUUUGUCACUUCAACAACAAAAUAGUAUUACUAAUGAAACUGAUUAUAUUAUUUAUAUAAAUAUACAGUCAUAAGCAUAUAUACAUACAUACAUAUGUACAUGUACAUACAUAGAAAGCAUACUACGCCAUGUUAGUCUAGCAUUUCUACAGCUGUCACCUAAAUUAUGCAGAUUUGUUUCCUCGAAAUCCCAUAAACAGUGAAAUAACUGCGCGUAAUUUGUGCAAAUAAGACAAAAAGAGUAUUUUAUUAGCCUUUAUCUUAUCACUUGUAUUAGAAAUAUUAUGUUUAUUGCCAAUUAGGAAUGAUAAAUAGUAUAUAACAUAUUUAGUGUCAUGCGUUAUUUGAAAUUGCAUUUAACAUACGAGUAAUAUAUCAAAAUUUUAUCGUAUUAAAAAAAUUGUAUAUUUGUGUCUUAAAAUUUUUAAAAAUAUUUUUUUUUUUCUAUAAAUUCUGUAAUUUUAUUUUUUUUUAAUUAUUUAAUUUAAUU